rnacentral:lncRNA from 1 species
CUGAGGGGCUGAUGUGCUCAGGUGCUUCAUGCUGAGCUUUCGCCUUCCUCUCUAGGGCUGCUGAUGCUGCGGCCCCAGUCCUCCAAAAGCGUAAAACGAAGCCCAUAACGCGGGGCUGGUGGGGAAAACCAGUGCUAUGUCAGUGAGGAAACGGGUUGGGGUUGGCGGGCGGCCUUCUGUGGGGGUGGAGUGCAUCCCUCAGGGGUUGGGGCUGGGAGGGUUGGCCCAGCCUUUAUCGAUGCUGCCCUCGUUCUCGUUCCUGCUGUAGAUCCACUUCAUUUAAAAGACUCGCUGACAGAAUUCCUGCUUUUAAAUGCCGUUUUUAGUCGUAUUGUUACACUUUUUCUUAUAUCUCAGCGCUUUUAAUUCUCUAAAGCGGCCUUGAAGCAGUACCACGCUGAUACAAGGGCUAUGGCACUGUGGCCUUACAGCUCUGACAACACUUAAAGAACCUCCAAGAAAGACAGCUUGGCUCUUCAGGUUUUGGCACCUAGCCUGAUUGACCUCUUCCUAUUGCAAUGUCUGAACGAUUCCCCAAGUUUUGUUCUGAGAUGGAUGCAGGAUUUUAGCACCAGCGCCUCAGGAGCCUCCACAGAAUGCACUUCCAUUGCUUCGGAGGGUCUCAGGUUCAGCUACUCCAUUACAGCCUUAGGCUACAUUCCUCAUCAAAGACAGAGAGACCCUGUUGACAUUUUCCUGGUGAGUAAAUCAGUCAUGAGAGCAACAUAUUUCUUUUCUAAGAAACAUUUGGAAAGCCAUCUAUUAGAAAUUAGGACUCCUGGGUUUCCCAGAGCUCAGCACAUUCUUGAAACAAAGGUGCUCAGACUCAUUCCUGCUUUUCCCCCUCCCUGCCUAGCAAACCCUGUGUGCAGCUGUCUCUUCAUACGUCUCCUGUCCACCAGCAUCCUCUUCCCCAUUGAGUGCUGUAGGAGCACUGUGGUGAGCAGGGGCAGAAGGACCACUCACCCUGUUCCUGCACAUCCGCUUGUGUACCCCACUCUCUGUAGCAGAGCAGUGACCAGCUGGUCUAUCCUAGCUGCAGAUAGCUUCUCUUUUACAAAGUAUGACUGAGGCGGUGCAGUAAUUGUAUGCAAAUCCAUGUGCAGAUUAAAAAAUUAAUCAAAUUCUGAAAUUUUCAUUUGAAGAGAUUAGUCUUGAAAAAUCCCCCAUCUAAUCCUCC